GGCCACGCUGGCAGGGUGAAUGAGUAGGUUAGCUUCAGCACAGGGCUCUUCUCAUCUCCUGUCAGGCAGCGAGAGAGAGGACACCAAACAUCAGUUGUCAUCAUCUGAGAUCAAGAUUAGAGAUCAGAUGGCUUGGUUCAGUGACAGCUUUUUUCUCAGUCUUUCUCUUUCAUGUCUCCACCUGGGAAUCCGCAGUCUGUUGUGACGAAACAUGGCUCUCUGAUGUAAUUAUAGAACUGUCACUUUGAACAGUCUGAACUUUAUUGAAUUCAUCUGCCAGAUCAGAUUGUAAAGCUUCAUCAAAACGGACAUACACACAAAGUCACCAAAGACAAAUGUUUAAUAGAACUUUAACAGCAAUGAACAAAUCUUGAGAUUCUUUCAUAUGUCACUGACUUGAAAGAUGCAUUGUGUUGCUGUUAGCAGGAACUCCCAUUAUGAAAUCUUACCUAAGCAGCUGUGCAGUCUCUGAACAGCCUGAACGACCAGAUCGCUCAUUUCAUGGUGACCAGACCCAAUGCCAUGAGCCACGAAGAGGAAACCUUUCUGCCCACCGAGAGGGAUACUUUGAGCCAAUCCAUGGCUCUAAUGAGACACCUGCUCAUGGAUGCACAGCCCUCUCGUUUCUGAAGGAGCUGAAAAAUGAUUGUUAUUCAUGAGGAAGACGAGACUCAGAGGGAACAUCAGCGGUUGAGCUUCUGAUGACUCAUUCCUAAUUAUUUUCUAUGGUUAUAUCAUGAAGAAAUUUCAACACAUUAAUCAAGGAGCUUCAGCCUUAGGCAGACCACUGUGGCAUGACACUUUACUCCUGAUUGCAUCUAUGUCGCACAGGCUUCAAUAAGUCAGGACAGCACAUCUACACCCCCGGAUCCAUUAAUGGCCCUGUCCAUAGAGAUGCUGUCCACACUCACUCUAAAAACACUGUAAUCACUGAAAGAUUUCAACAGGUUUAUGCUCAGAGGUGAGUGCAAUAUUUCUAGUGAUGUUCCCCCAUCAUCUGAGUCACAAAAGAGACAAAAACAUCUCUUGUGAACCAACCUGCUGUUGUGCUCUUUCCCUCAAUGAAAGUUCAAUAGUUUGGAGUACGUAUGAUUUAUCUUUUUGAAAGAAAUGAAUGCUUUGAAAGGGAUACUCCACCCCAAAAUGAAAAUUUUGUCAUUAAUCACUUACCCCCAUGUCAUUCCAAACCCAUAAAAGCUCCAUUCAUCUUCGGAACACAAUUUAAGAUAUUUUGGAUAAAAACCGGGAGGCCUGUGACUGUCCCAUAGACUGCCAAGUAAAUAACAGUGUCAAGGUCCAUAAAAGGUAUGAAAGUCGUCGUCAGAAUACUCCAUCUGCCAUCAGACAUGUAAUCUGGGUCAUAUGAAGCGACGGGAACACUUUUUUGUAAGCGAAGAAAAUAAAAAUAACGACUUUGUGAUUUAGUAACUUUGUGACUUAGGCCAUGUUUUUUUUUUUCACUCUCAAAAUGCAAUCUUAUACAAGUUUUUUUUUGUUUUUUUUUUAAACAAUGCAGCAAACAUUUUUACAUAUCUUAAAAAUACUUUGAUGUCUUUAAAGUGUUGAUAGUAAUUUUUUUUUUUUUUUUAGUAGCCUACAUUUGGCCAGAAUCUAGAAAAGAUGACGCUGUAUUGGCUGUGAGUAAGCGCAGCGGGUUAUUGGCUAACUUUCCCAGAUCUCUCUUUUUCCUUUUCUUUUUGGGUAAAGAAAACGCUGUACUUUAUUAUUAUUAUUAUUAUUAUUAUUAUUAUUAUUAUUAGGCAAAUUAUAGGCAAAGAAAAUUGUUUUCUUUAAAAUAACGUUAUUAACCGGUAUUUCUUACACCCGAACCGGUUUCAGAACGGUAGCUAAUAAUAUCAGAGGAACGAAGGAACAGAAACGUUAAAAUAUAGAUUCUGCUCGGAGUGAACCGAUUGAAUUAUUUUUCGGUUUGAAGCCCUGUUAAAAAUUUGAAACAUUUUUUAUUAUUAUUAUUCAGUAUAAAAUGACCGAACGACACCAGAGGGUUAAAGAGAGUCGAUUCCAUAAAUUGGAAACGAUUCAGUCAAAUGGAAUCAACUCCAGCGUUUAGAAUCGGCUCUCGAUUCCAAAAACAUUCACAGCAAGUUCAAAGGACAGCACGGUGUGGAGCACGAGUGAAUAGUUAAUAUCUUCAAGUUCAUUCUAGCUGCAAGCUUCAGCAGGAAAUAAUAUUGAAUGAGCAUCAGAGGGUAUGUU
rnacentral:lncRNA from 1 species